AUUGAACGCUGGCGGCAGGCCUAACACAUGCAAGUCGAGCGAGCGGCGGACGGGUGAGUAAUGUCUGGGGAACUGCCUGAUGGAGGGGGGUAACUACUGGAAAAGGUAGCUAAUACAGCAUAUCAUCUGAUGUGCCCAGAUGGGAUUAGCUCGUGGGUGGGGUAAUGGCGCACCUAGGCGACGAUCCCUAGCUGGUCUGAGAGGAGGACCAGCCACACUGGAACUGAGAAACGGUCCAGACUCCUACGGGAGGCAGCAGUGGGGAAUAUUGCACAAUGGGCGCAAGCCUGAUGCAGCCAUGCCGCGUGUGUGAAGAAGGCCUUCGGGUUGUAAAGCACUUUCAGCGGGGAGGCGUUACCCGCAGAAGAAGCACCGGCUAACUCCGUGCCAGCAGCCGCGGUAAUUC
rnacentral:rRNA from 1 species